rnacentral:rRNA from 1 species
UACAGAGGGUGCAAGCGUUGUUCGGAAUUAUUGGGCGUAAAGGGCGCGUAGGCGGUGCGGUAAGUCUGUAGUGAAAUCUCUGGGCUCAACUCAGAGUCUGCUAUAGAAACUGCCGUGCUUGAGUGUGGGAGAGGUGAGUGGAAUUCCCGGUGUAGCGGUGAAAUGCGUAGAUAUCGUAAGGAACACCUGUGGCGGAAGCGGCUUACUGGGUCUUUUCUGACGCUGAUGCACGAAAGCCAGGGGAGCAAACGGG